rnacentral:tRNA from 1 species
ACCUGGAUGGUUCAGUCAGUUGAGCAUCUGACUUUGGCUCAGGUCAUGAUCUCACUGCUCGUGGGCUCAAGCCCCACCUCAGGCU